AUUGAACGCUGGCGGCAGGCUUAACACAUGCAAGUCGAGCGAGCGGCGGACGGGUGAGUUAUGUAUGGGAAACUGCCUGAUGGCGGGGGAUAACUACUGAAAAGGGUAGCUAAUACCGCAUACCUUCAUAUGUUCCCAGAUGGGAUUAGCUAGUAUGUGGGGUAAUGGUACACCAAGGCGACGAUCCCUAGCUGGUCUGAGAGGAUGACCAGCCACACUGGAACUGAGACACGGUCCAGACUCCUACGGGAGGCAGCAGUGGGGAAUAUUGCACAAUGGGCGCAAGCCUGAUGCAGCCAUGCCGCGUGUGUGAAGAAGGCCUUCGGGUUGUAAAGCACUUUCAGCGAGGAGGCGUUACUCGCAGAAGAAGCACCGGCUAACUCCGUGCCAGCAGCCGCGGUAAUAC
rnacentral:rRNA from 1 species